rnacentral:rRNA from 1 species
CUGUAAGACUGGGAUAACUUCGGGAAACCGAAGCUAAUACCGGAUAGGAUCUUCUCCUUCAUGGGAGAUGAUUGAAAGAUGGUUUCGGCUAUCACUUACAGAUGGGCCCGCGGUGCAUUAGCUAGUUGGUGAGGUAACGGCUCACCAAGGCAACGAUGCAUAGCCGACCUGAGAGGGUGAUCGGCCACACUGGGACUGAGACACGGCCCAGACUCCUACGGGAGGCAGCGGAAGGGAAUCUUCCGCAAUGGACGAAAGUCUGACGGAGCAACGCCGCGUGAGUGAUGAAGGCUUUCGGGUCGUAAAACUGUGUUGUUAGGGAAGAACAAGUACGAGAGUAACUGCUCGUACCUUGACGGUACCUAACCAGAAAGCCACGGCUAACUACGUGCCAGCAGCCGCGGUAAUACGUAGGUGGCAAGCGUUAUCCGGAAUUAUUGGGCGUAAAGCGCGCGCAGGCGGCUUCUUAAGUCUGAUGCGGAAGCCCACGGCUCAACCGUGGAGGGUCAUUGGAAACUGGGGAACUUGAGUGCAGAAGAGAAAAGCGGAAUUCCACGUGUAGCGGUGAAAUGCGUAGAGAUGUGGAGGAACACCAGUGGCGAAGGGCGGCUUUUGGGCCUGUACUGACGCUGAGGCGCGAAAAGCGGGGGAGCAAACAGGAAAAGAAACCCGGGGGAGCCACGCCGGAAACGAAGAGGGC